UACGUAGGGUGCAAGCGUUGUCCGGAAUUAUUGGGCGUAAAGAGCUCGUAGGCGGUCUGUCGCGUCUGCUGUGAAAACUCAGGGCUUAACCCUGAGCUUGCAGUGGGUACGGGCAGACUAGAGUGCGGUAGGGGAGACUGGAAUUCCUGGUGUAGCGGUGAAAUGCGCAGAUAUCAGGAGGAACACCGGUGGCGAAGGCGGUGGUCUGGGCCGGCACUGACGCUGAGGAGCGAAAGCGUGGGGAGCGAACAGG
rnacentral:rRNA from 1 species